rnacentral:rRNA from 1 species
AUGGCUGAACUGUUAAACCGUUCCCGGGGCUUGGCAGAAGGAGUGGUCGUUAUGAUAUGCCCGGUGCUUCUCGCACUGGCUCUCAACUUAGUCGACCUCAAUGGCGAGGUGUACGGACAUGGUGUCCCUAUACCAUUGAUCACCAUGGCCGGCUUUACUUUGAUAACUGGCAUCUGCCCCUUGCUCGCGUGCUGCUUCUUUGAGCGAUUCCUUGGCCUGGGCGUAAGUCCUAUCCCUGUAACGACGAGUCUGGCAACCCUUUCGUCUUGUUGCCUCGUCGUCCUCGCCUGCUUGAUUGCACAGUUCAUUAUCUCCAAAUCCAUUUUUGUCACUGUUGGCGUCAUAUGUGGAAUCUUGGUCUUGGUUCGGACCGUCUGCUACUACGUGCACGACACACGGAAUGACGAUGGUCGGGAAUACACAACGGACAUGCACAGUGUACUGGAUGAAUCACAUGAGUUCUUGACCAGUGUCACUGGAAUUCUUUUUCUGGGGUUCGAAGGUCUGGCCCUCAAUGGUCACGGUCAGACGGGUCGCAAGGGCGAGGAAUUAGUGGGCUACAUCAGUUUCAUCGUCUGCACUUUUGGAGUGUGCUUAAUGUUCCUCGAGAUGACCCCACCUCCAUGUUUUGCGGUACAUAGGCAUGGUAGCCAAGAAGAAAGAAGUGAGGGAGAGCAACAAAUUGUGUGUUUGACUCUCGUCCUAGACUGCAUCAUGGCGGUUGGUAUCUUCGUACUAUUGCUGGUCGUCAUGCUUAAGCUCACACCGCUUGAGUUUGCCCUGUGGGUCUUGCUGCCUCCGGCUGUAAGCUUCGGUCAACUCCCGGUCCUGGUUGCAUUGAAGGGAAACACACAAGAUGAACAAGAAUCAAGGCCGGCGUCGCUGGAACUGACAAAGGCCACCUUCACUGGAUUCUUGGCCGUGUCGGUAUCAGCCAUAAGCAAUGCUUCACCCAGCAAGUUGACCAGAUUUUUUCUACUAUUAUCUUCCAUGGCUAUUGGGUUUGGUCUCUCAUGGAGGCUCCUAUCUCAGAUUAACAUAAGGAGUGGUCUCGCCGGUUGUGUUUCAUCUGCACAUGUUGCUUCCGCUGCCAAGCUUGCUUCCUUCUGCGCUCAUUUAUGCAUUGUAAUCGCUACAGUUCUAUUUGUAGUAAUGGCUGGUAAAGCAAGUGGGAAAUGA